AACACGUUACGAUUGGUCCAUUCAAACCUGCAUGCUUUUUCUAUGCCUGAACACCUCGCACCCUGACACAACUGACAAAACUUGUGUGAGAGACAGACGAACAUAGGCGUCAACUUAAUUUUCAUCAGCACACAUUAUUCCAUCGUCUGCUAUGGCAGCCAGGCAUAAACACGGGCCCCUGUGCCAUACAUAGGGGUUUAUCGUGUAUGUUGAAAUCUCCAUCCACUUGGAAAUAAACAGAACUUACAACCCUGCAUUCACUUUGCGUGUCGUCAUUGUGACCCUGCUAC